UACGUAGGGUGCGAGCGUUAUCCGGAUUUAUUGGGUUUAAAGGGUGCGUAGGCGGACCCUUAAGUCAGUGGUGAAAGUUUGCGGCUCAACCGUAAAAUUGCCAUUGAAACUGAGGGUCUUGAGUGUAAAUAAGGUAGGCGGAAUGUGUUGUGUAGCGGUGAAAUGCUUAGAUAUAACACAGAACACCAAUUGCGAAGGCAGCUUACUGGGAUACAACUGACGCUGAGGCACGAAAGCGUGGGGAUCAAACAGG
rnacentral:rRNA from 1 species